rnacentral:lncRNA from 1 species
CCACGCCAACGCACCGAUGCAGAUCUACAACCACAGUCACAGUCACCGAUGUAUCUUAUUUCUACUACUACAGGCAUCUAUGAAUCAUUUACUCCCCUAGGCGUUUGAAUGCAGUUAUAACUUGAUUCUAGUUGAUGAAGUUUGUGAUACCCUUAUCUAGUUGGGUUCUUGUUCAUAUCAAGCGAGGAUUGCUUAGGUUUCAGAUUUAGUGUGAUAGCGUGGCUCCUAUUUAGCCUCCUUUUGCUCGACUCGUGACACCUGGGUUUCGGAUUUAUUCCUUGAAGCUGGACACUAACGAUUGUCAAAAAUCCAUGUGGAGCUAAGGUAAUUGAUGAGAAGAUUCAGUCCUUUAAUUUAUAAAAAAAUUAGGGCAGAGAUUAAAAGCCACGGAUUCACAACAGGCAGGGGUUAAUGUUCUAGUAGCUGGAUACUUAACUGGGAAAUAUAAGGAGGUCGGAUGUUUAUUUGGGAAAGAUAAUGUGAACGGUCACGCCUCGAGGAAGAAGUUGUGGAUGAACAUGUUCCUGUUCAGCCAAGUCUAAAUGAAACAUAAUGUGAAAUAUAAGGAGGUCGGAUGCUUAUUUGGGAAACAUAAUGUGAACGGUCACACCUCGAGGAAGAAGUUGUGGAUGAAUGUGUUCCUCUUCAGCCAAGUCCAAAUGAAACAUGCCUUUAUCCAAAACUAGAUCAUUCUGCAACCCAAGAGGAAAAGAAAUCGUAUGCUUUAACUGUGUGAUUAUGUUAACUAAACGUUCUACAUACACUUUAUUUUAUGUAUAAGCAUUUGGUAAAAUUGACUCGAUUUAUGUAUUUAUGUGAUGUGAUUUUAUAUAUAUUUAGUGAUUUUUAUGAGUA